GGAGGUUCCUCCUCUGUGGAGUCUUUCCUGUGAAUGUUGGUUCUUUGGAUACAAGUAAAUAGCAACUAUAUACAAGCUGUCCUUCAAAAUGUGGCCCUGUCCUGAGUUAGAGUUUCAAAACAAAAUUCCUGUUUAAUUCACACCUCCAGUCUAGAAACUGCUUGUAGUACAAAAAGAAGAGACCUUUCUCUCACUAGAAAGGAAAUCUUUGAAGUGGGACUCCUUUGAAACUGGGGUACUAGGAUGCAAAGAGCACAAGGCUGGGAAGAGCAAGCAAGAGAAGCAUGAUCGUACCAGCUGGCAGUGCCUUUCCUGGAAAUCAGACUUCUCACUAAGAAGCAAGUAUAGCACGGGUUUGUUUUUCUAAGAUGACAUCCAGAUUACAUUUAAGAAACCUACAACUUCAAAGAGGAGAAACUUGGUGGCAUUUCUUCAGAAAGCAUAAGCUUUCCAUGGAGUAAAACUGGUGACCAAAAGAAAAAAGAUAAUUGUGGAGUGUUUUUUUAAUGCUUAAAGCAACAUUAGAAAGAAGUGAAACAGAUUUUAUCACUAUCUGCAACAGACACUGUGGUAGAGGCUUGCUCCUUAAUGACCUGCUUAUGAUGAGAGUGCUUGUGUGUUGGCUGGCAGCUCCUGACAUAGAGCAACUUAAGUGGAAGCAUCCUCAAUUUCUGCUAGAGUCAUCUAGGCACUUUUACUGAAUUUCCAAGCUGGCUUCUGUUCUGCCAUUCUAGCAGAUGCUGAAUGCCCCCUACAGGUGAGCAUACCAAGGAUCUGUGGCAGGACAUGAAAGCUCAUUCCUGAAUGAAUGUUAAGAAAUACUGGAUGUAGUAUACUGAAGGAAUAUGUCUCCAGCAGAGACAUAAACAACCAAAGGCAUGGGCAAUGUUUAAUGAUCUCCACUAUGGGGAGGAGAAUAUGUUGGUAGCUCUGAUGAGCACUUCGACUAAUGCAUUUGCAAUUGAUAAUGAUGUUGAAUUAAUAUUCUGAAAAUAAUAAAGAGGGAGAAUUGUGUUA